GCGCCUGUCGCUCAGCCGGAUCUGGAGCAGUUGCCUUCUCAGCAGCGGGUCGGGGGGUCAAAUCCCUCCAGGCGCU
rnacentral:tRNA from 1 species